GUUGGUUAGAAUACCGGCCUGUCACGCCGGGGGUCGCGGGUUCGAGUCCCGUCCACUCCGCCA
rnacentral:tRNA from 2 species